AAGGCCAAACAACGAAGUGGUGACUCACUGAGUCCUUGCACUCUCGAAGGAAACAACCACCUUAGAAAAAACCAUGCACUUUCGGCGGGGGCUUAAUCACAUUAGGUUCUCUGUGUAGCAUAUUAAUGCCUGCCACAAGGGUGCUAUCAACCAGAAUCUUCAGUGAAUCUUCUUUGUCUGAAUUGCACAUAUCUCAGAGGAGAAUAGAGAAUGUGUAAGGACACCGUGGCCCAUGCAUUGACACUGUCAUAGAUAAAGCAUAGUUACUCGCUAUCAGUUCUACCCACAGCCAAAGUCCAGGUUCCACCUCCUUUAGCAAGCCUUCUCGAAGGACUCCAUGCCUCACUGAUCUUCCUCCUCACUGAACGCCACAGACCAAGAACCCAUAAUGUCCUCCUCAGGAACCAGCACAGUCCCAAAGUCCACAGAACUCAAAAGAACGCUGGUAGAUUGAUUUGCUCUACCAUCAUCUCAACAGUGCUUUCCUCGGGUGUAGCAUGAUGCA
rnacentral:lncRNA from 1 species